UGCCGGUUAGCUCAGUUGGUAGAGCAGUGUGAUGAUAACGCAAAGGUCGCUGGUUCGAGCCCAGCACUGGCAA
rnacentral:tRNA from 1 species